rnacentral:rRNA from 1 species
UACAGAGGGUGCAAGCGUUAAUCGGAUUUACUGGGCGUAAAGGGCGCGUAGGCGGUCAUUUAAGUUUGAUGUGAAAUCCCUGGGCUUAACCUAGGAACUGCAUUGAAUACUGGGUGACUGGAGUACUGUAGAGGGUGGUGGAAUUUCCGGUGUAGCGGUGAAAUGCGUAGAGAUCGGAAGGAACACCAGUGGCGAAGGCGACUACCUGGACAGAUACUGACACUGAGGCGCGAAAGCGUGGGGAGCGAACAGG